rnacentral:rRNA from 1 species
GACGAACGCUGGCGGCGUGCUUAACACAUGCAAGUCGAACGAGCGGCGGACGGGUGAGUAAUGUCUGGGAAACUGCCUGAUGGAGGGGGAUAAAUACUGGAAACGGUAGCUAAUACCGCAUACCAUCAGAUGUGCCCAGAUGGGAUUAGCUAGUAGGUGGGGUAACGGCUCACCUAGGCGACGAUCCCUAGCGGGUCUGAGAGGAUGACCAGCCACACUGGAACGGAGACACGGUCCAGACUCCUACGGGAGGCAGCAGUGGGGAAUAUUGCACAAUGGGCGCAAGCCUGAUGCAGCCAUGCCGCGUGUGUGAAGAAGGCCUUCGGGUUGUAAAGCACUUUCAGCGGGGAGGCGUUACCCGCAGAAGAAGCACCGGCUAACUCCGUGCCAGCAGCCGCGGUAAUUC